rnacentral:rRNA from 1 species
GACGAACGCUGGCGGCGUGCCUAACACAUGCAAGUCGAACGGAGUGUUUAUUUAUAAACACUUAGUGGCGAACGGGUGAGUAACGCGUAGACAACCUGCCCUCUAGAUGGGGACAACACCGCGAAAGUGGUGCUAAUACCGAAUGUUGUAAUGUUGUUGCAUAAUGAUAUUACUAAAGGUGGCCUCUAUAUAAAAGCUACCGCUAGAAGAUGGGUCUGCGUCUGAUUAGCUAGUUGGUGAGAUAACAGCUCACCAAGGCAAUGAUCAGUAGCCGGUCUGAGAGGAUGAACGGCCACACUGGGACUGAGACACGGCCCAGACUCCUACGGGAGGCAGCAGUGGGGAAUCUUCCGCAAUGGACGAAAGUCUGACGGAGCAACGCCGCGUGAGUGAAGAAGGUUUUCGGAUCGUAAAGCUCUGUCUUCAAGGACGAAUGUAGAUAUCGUGAAUAAUGAUAUUUAAUGACGGUACUUGAGGAGGAAGCCACGGCUAACUCCGUGCCAGCAGCCGCGGUAACAC